rnacentral:rRNA from 1 species
GACGAACGCUGGCGGCGUGCCUAAUACAUGCAAGUAGAACGCUGAAGGAGGAGCUUGCUUCUCCGGAUGAGUGGCGAACGGGUGAGUAACGCGUAGGUAACCUGCCUGUUAGCGGGGGAUAACUAUUGGAAACGAUCGCUAAUACCGCAUAACAGUAGAUGUUGCAUGACAUUUGCUUAAAAGAGGCAAUUUCAUCACUACCAGAUGGUCCUGCGUUGCAUUAGGUAGUUGGUGAGGUAACGGCGCACCAAGGCGACGAUACAGAGCCGACCUGGGAGGGGGAUCGGGCCACACGGGAACGAGAACAGGCCCCGGACCCCACCGGAGGCAGCCGGAGGGGAACUUCGGGCAUGGGCGGAAGUCUGGACGGGCCAAGCCCGGUGGGUGAAGAAGGUUUUCCGAUCCUUAAGAUCUGUUGUAAGAGAAGAAAGAGUGUGAGAGUGGAAAGUUCACACUGUGACGGUAUCUUACCAGAAAGGGACGGCUAACUACGUG